rnacentral:tRNA from 1 species
GCUGCUGUAGCUCAGUUGGUAGAGCGCGUCCAUGGUAAGGACGAGGUCACCAGUUCAAUCCUGGUCAGUAGCU